GACGAACGCUGGCGGCGUGCUUAACACAUGCAAGUCGAACGGAAAGGCCCUGCUUUUGUGGGGUGCCCGAGUGGCGAACGGGUGAGUAACACGUGAGUAACCUGCCCUUGACUUUCGGCUCACUUCAGGAAACUGGGGCUAAUACCGGAUAGGAGCUCCUGCUGCAUGGUGGGGGCUGGAAAGUUUCGGCGGUUGGGGAUGGACUCGCGGCUUAUCAGCUUGUUGGUGGGGUAGUGGCUUACCAAGGCUUUGACGGGUAGCCGGCCUGAGAGGGUGACCGGCCACAUUGGGACUGAGAUACGGCCCAGACUCGUACGGGAGGCAGCAGUAGGGAAUAUUGCACAAUGGGCGGAAGCCUGAUGCAGCAACGCGGCGUGCGGGGUGAUGGCCUUCGGUUUGUAGACCGCUUUCGGCUGUGACGAAGCGUGAUUGACGGUAAUGGAUAAAGAAGCACCGGCUAACUACGUG
rnacentral:rRNA from 1 species